rnacentral:rRNA from 1 species
CCUACGGGAGGCAGCAGUGGGGAAUAUUGGGCAAUGGAGGCAACUCUUACCCAGCAAUGCCGCGUGAAUGAAGAAGGUCUUCGGAUUGUAAAGUUCUUUAAUUGGGGACGAAAAAAAUGACGGUACCCAAGUAAUAAGCAUCGGCUAACUCCGUGCCAGCAGCCGCGGUAAUACGGAGGAUGCGAGCGUUAUCCGGAUUUAUUGGGUUUAAAGGGUGCGUAGGCGGUUUUUUAAGUUAGUGGUUAAACGUCGGGGCUUCACCUUGAUUUGCCAUUAAUACUGUAAGACUCGAGUUCAGACGAGGUAGGCGGAAUAAGUUAAGUAGCGGUGAAAUGCUUAGAUAUAACUUAGAACUCCGAUAGCGAAGGCAGCUUACCAGACUGCGACUGACGCUGAAGCACGAGAGCGUGGGUAGCGAACAGGAUUAGAUACCCCUGUAGUC